rnacentral:rRNA from 1 species
GAGUUUGAUCCUGGCUCAGAUUGAACGCUGGCGGCAGGCUUAACACAUGCAAGUCGAGCGGUAACAGGGGAAGCUUGCUUCCCGCUGACGAGCGGCGGACGGGUGAGUAAUGCUUAGGAAUCUGCCCAGUAGUGGGGGAUAGCCCGGGGAAACCCGGAUUAAUACCGCAUACGUCCUACGGGAGAAAGCAGGGGAUCUUCGGACCUUGCGCUAUUGGAUGAGCCUAUGUCGGAUUAGCUAGUUGGUGGGGUAAAGGCCUACCAAGGCAACGAUCCGUAGCUGGUCUGAGAGGAUGAUCAGCCACAUCGGGACUGAGACACGGCCCGAACUCCUACGGGAGGCAGCAGUGGGGAAUAUUGGACAAUGGGGGCAACCCUGAUCCAGCCAUGCCGCGUGUGUGAAGAAGGCUUUCGGGUUGUAAAGCACUUUCAGCGAGGAAGAACGCCUGGCGGUUAAUACCCGCCAGGAAAGACAUCACUCGCAGAAGAAGCACCGGCUAACUCCGUGCCAGCAGCCGCGGUAAUACGGAGGGUGCAAGCGUUAAUCGGAAUUACUGGGCGUAAAGCGCGCGUAGGUGGCUUGAUAAGCCGGUUGUGAAAGCCCCGGGCUCAACCUGGGAACGGCAUCCGGAACUGUCAAGCUAGAGUAUGGUAGAGGGUAGUGGAAUUUCCUGUGUAGCGGUGAAAUGCGUAGAUAUAGGAAGGAACACCAGUGGCGAAGGCGGCUACCUGGACCAAUACUGACGCUGAGGUGCGAAAGCGUGGGGAGCAAACAGGAUUAGAUACCCUGGUAGUCCACGCCGUAAACGAUGUCAACUAGCCGUUGGGACUCUUGAAGUCUUAGUGGCGCAGCUAACGCACUAAGUUGACCGCCUGGGGAGUACGGCCGCAAGGUUAAAACUCAAAUGAAUUGACGGGGGGCCCGCACAAGCGGUGGAGCAUGUGGUUUAAUUCGACGCAACGCGAAGAACCUUACCUGGCCUUGACAUCCUGCGAACUUUCUAGAGAUAGAUUGGUGCCUUCGGGAACGCAGUGACAGGUGCUGCAUGGCCGUCGUCAGCUCGUGUCGUGAGAUGUUGGGUUAAGUCCCGUAACGAGCGCAACCCUUAUCCCUGGUUGCUAGCAGUUCGGCUGAGAACUCCAGGGAGACUGCCGGUGACAAACCGGAGGAAGGUGGGGAUGACGUCAGGUCAUCAUGGCCCUUACGGCCAGGGCUACACACGUGCUACAAUGGUGCGUACAGAGGGCUGCAAGCUCGCGAGAGCAAGCCAAUCCCUUAAAACGCAUCGUAGUCCGGAUCGGAGUCUGCAACUCGACUCCGUGAAGUCGGAAUCGCUAGUAAUCGCGAAUCAGAAUGUCGCGGUGAAUACGUUCCCGGGCCUUGUACACACCGCCCGUCACACCAUGGGAGUGGAUUGCACCAGAAGUGGUUAGUCUAACCUUCGGGAGGACGAUCACCACGGUGUGGUUCAUGACUGGGGUGAAGUCGUAACAAGGUAACC